GAUGAAGAACGUAGCGAAAUGCGAUAAGUAAUGUGAAUUGCAGAAUUCAGUGAAUCAUCGAAUCUUUGAACGCACAUUGCGCCCGCCAGUAUUCUGGCGGGCAUGCCUGUUCGAGCGUCAUUUCAACCAUCAAGCCCCCGGCUUGUGUUGGGGACCUGCGGCUGCCGCAGGCCCUGAAAAGCAGUGGCGGGCUCGCUGUCACACCGAGCGUAGUAGCAUACAUCUCGCUCUGGGCGUGCUGCGGGUUCCGGCCGUUAAACCACCUUCAUAACCCAAGGUUGACCUCGGAUCAGGUAGGAAGACCCGCUGAACUUAAGCAUAUCAAUAAGCGAAGGA
rnacentral:misc_RNA from 1 species